rnacentral:rRNA from 1 species
UACGUAGGGUGCAAGCGUUGUCCGGAAUUACUGGGCGUAAAGAGCUCGUAGGCGGUCUGUCGCGUCUGCUGUGAAAACCCGGGGCUCAACUCCGGGCUUGCGGGCGAUACGGGCAGGCUAGAGUUCGGUAGGGGAGACUGGAAUUCCUGGUGUAGCGGUGAAAUGCGCAGAUAUCAGGAGGAACACCGGUGGCGAAGGCGGGUCUCUGGGCCGAUACUGACGCUGAGGAGCGAAAGCGUGGGGAGCGAACAGG